UACGUAGGGGCCAAGCGUUGUCCGGAUUUAUUGGGCGUAAAGAGCUCGUAGGCGGUUCGGCAAGUCGAAUGUGAAAUCUCCACGCUCAACGUGGAGGGGUCAUUCGAUACUGCCGUGACUUGAGUACGGUAGGGGAGACUGGAAUUCCUGGUGUAGCGGUGAAAUGCGCAGAUAUCAGGAGGAACACCGGUGGCGAAGGCGGGUCUCUGGGCCGAUACUGACGCUGAGGAGCGAAAGCGUGGGGAGCGAACAGG
rnacentral:rRNA from 1 species